UGUGUGACUGGCCAGCAGGGGGCGGUGGUCACUUUCUAUCCACUUCUCAGGCACUGUGAGACAGGCUGCAGAAUCAAAUCCAUGUUUUCCUCCAGCUCAUCUCAGCCUGCCGUGGGACAGGGAAGAGAAAUGGCAGCAGUGGAGCCAACUCAGGGGCCGGUGACCUUUGAGGAGGUGGCUGUGUAUUUCACCAGGGAAGAGUGGGCUCUGAUG